rnacentral:rRNA from 1 species
CCUACGGGAGGCAGCAGUGGGGGAUAUUGCACAAUGGGGGAAACCCUGAUGCAGCGACGCCGCGUGUGGGAAGACGGUCCUCUGGAUUGUAAACCACUGUCCCCAGGGACGAAGGUGCCGGUACCUGGGGAGGAAGCUCCGGCUAACUACGUGCCAGCAGCCGCGGUAAUACGUAGGGAGCGAGCGUUGUCCGGAAUUACUGGGUGUAAGGGGAGCGUAGGCGGGACUGCAAGUUGGGUGUCAAAUCUACCGGCUCAACCGGUAGCCGCACUCAAAACUGCAGUUCUUGAGUGAAGUAGAGGCAGGCGGAAUUCCUAGUGUAGCGGUGAAAUGCGUAGAUAUUAGGAGGAACACCAGUGGCGAAGGCGGCCUGCUGGGCUUUUACUGACGCUGAGGCUCGAAAGUGUGGGGAGCAAACAGGAUUAGAUACCCUGGUAGUC